CUAGCCUCCCCAGCUGGGAGUUCAAGGGCCAGGCAGGACGGUCCUACGGGCUGGAUGUGGCCUGCGGGCCGUAGUUUGCCCAGCUUUGUUGUAGAAUGACAUUCCAGCCAAUGAGCAAAGAUAUUAGCAGGAGAGGCCAUGUAACAAAAGGACCAUUAUCUCCAAAUGCCUGGAAUAAACAUUGUGAUGUCUCUUUAAAUGGCAGUUACUCUAUUGGCCAGUCCAUUGUGUGGAAACCAGGUGGUCUGUUGUUAGCCAUGCACAUCUAUUCAAGCAAACUGGGCACGGACAUCUUGCUGAGCAAAGCGGAACGCAGGAUAUAUAUACAUUUUCUUAGCAAAGAGACACUACAGCAAUCCUGGAGUCAGCCAGCCUCACAUAAAUCACAGCUGGGUGUUUAAAGAAAUGAAAUGGAGUGCAAGUCUCUUGUCUCCUCUUCAGUUUCCAGGUGCUGAGCUCAGAUGUCUGGAUUGGCAGCAAUUAACCCAGCUAAUGAAUGCCUGGCCCUCUAUGAAGUGAUGGAUUAUUUUGUGCAGAUUCUGUAUAGCCACUCAACCCUAUCAAAUACCCUGAUGGCACUGAUCAGAUGAAUUGAGGUGCUAGUGAGUAGAUGAUGGCUGUAACAUAGUAAAAAGAACUGCACACACUUUAAGAGGGAUCAUUCAUCUGCAAAGCUAUGGCCAUUCACUUCAAUUAGCAAGUUUUCUAGCACAGUCCCCAAAGAUGUAACACCAUCUUGAUUUCUUAGGCACAGGCAGGGCUUCAGAUAAGUCCCCCUCUUUAUUUUGGAUUUUGCCCAUUACCUACAAAACGUCAACGUGUACAAAAUUCACCAGUAGGCCAGAUUUAAGCCUCUUCUUCACUAAUCCCUGAUCUCUCUCUCUUUUUUUUAAACAAAAUCUUGAUGUUAAAACAUAUUGUUGCAAACAGUCAAAGUCUCCGCUGGCCUUUCCUUUCCCUGUGGUUUUGUUACAGUCCAUCGCACAGGAAAUAAUUUUAGCUGCAGCAUUGUUUACUGGGACUA